rnacentral:rRNA from 1 species
AGAAUCAACGCUGGCGGCGUGCCUAACACAUGCAAGUCGAACGAGAAAGUGGAGCAAUCCAUGAGUAAAGUGGCGACCGGGUGAGUAACACGUGACUAACCUACCUUCGAGUGGGGGAUAACCUCGGGAAACCGAGGCUAAUACCGCAUAACAUCGCAAGAUCAAAGCAGCAAUGCGCUGGAAGAGGGGGUCGCGGCUGAUUAGCUAGUUGGCGGGGUAACGGCCCACCAAGGCGAAGAUCGGUAGCCGGCCUGAGAGGGCGCACGGCCACACUGGAACUGAAACACGGUCCAGACUCCUACGGGAGGCAGCAGUGGGGAAUUUUGCGCAAUGGGGGAAACCCUGACGCAGCAACGCCGCGUGGAGGAUGAAGCCCCUUGGGGCGUAAACUCCUUUCGACCAAGACGAUAAUGACGGUACUGGUGGAAGAAGCACGGCUAACUCUGCGCCAGCAGCCGC